rnacentral:rRNA from 1 species
ACCAGCAGCCAUAUCACCAUGCAGCUCUCAACUGGCUACCCACUGAAGAUAAGCAGCAUUGAGCCUGGUCAGUACCUGGGUGGGAGUCCUUAUGGGAAGCUAUGGUUGCUGCUGGAA